rnacentral:rRNA from 1 species
GAUGAACGCUAGCGGCAGGCCUAAUACAUGCAAGUCGAACGGUGUAGCAAUACACAGUGGCGCACGGGUGCGUAACACGUAUGCAACCUACCUUACAUUGGGGGAUAGCCUUUCGAAAGGGAGAUUAAUACCGCAUAAGACAGUAACUAGGCAUCUAGUAGCUGUUAAAGAUUUAUCGAUGUAAGCUGGGCAUGCGUCCAAUUAGUUAGUUGGCGAGGUAAUGGCUCACCAAGACGAUGAUUGGUAGGGGAACUGAGAGGUCAAUCCCCCACACUGGGACUGAGAUACGGGCCAGACUCCUACGGGAGGCAGCAGUAGGGAAUAUUGGGCAAUGGGCGCAAGCCUGACCCAGCCAUGCCGCGUGCAGGAAGAAGGCGUUAUGCGUUGCAAACUGCUUUUAUACAGGAAGAAACGACCCUUGCGAGGGGCAUUGACGGUACUGUAUGAAUAAGCACCGGCUAACUCCGUGCCAGCAGCCGCGGUAAAAC